AAAACGGUUCUUUUCAGAACCCCACAAAUGUGUAAAGGAAAUUAAU
rfam:Beta vulgaris subsp. vulgaris contig115323.1, whole genome shotgun sequence.